rnacentral:tRNA from 1 species
UAGGACGUGGCCGAGACAGUCAGGCAACUCUCUUACACUGAGCCCACAUCCAUGCAAAUUGGAUCGUCCUAA